rnacentral:lncRNA from 1 species
CAAAUUUUUAAAUAUUUUCCUUUACAUUUUAAGUUACAAGUGGUAAUUUGAAGAAAGAAAAAGUAAAGCAACAGUAUUUUGAGACGAAAUAGAAAAAAAACGUUGACUUAUUGUUGAAUAAGGGAUAAUAAAAGAAGAGAAUAUUUUUAUUGAAA